GGUGCAGCCUGCGUUUGCAGGCACUUGGCCCCGACUCAUAAUCGUGGAGUCGGGGGUUCAAGUCCCCCCUCGCCACCA
rnacentral:tRNA from 1 species